AUUGCGGGGCGGGGGCCAAAAAUUGUUCACCCCAAAACCACCACCGGAAUAAUGAGCUCGGAGGCUGUGGAGGAGGGGGUGCGGGGGGAGAAAAAUAGAUUCGUCUUAAAAAUUUUUUGUUUAAAAUCUCAAAGUACACCCGGCUCCUUUCUAACCCUCAGCUGCCAGCGGCGCGCGGCUGCCCCGGAACAGGAGCGGGGAACAGACUGGAAGUACUUGAAGGUCUUUUUAGCUCCACGCCUCACCCCAGCUUGGAUCUCGAGAACAUUUCAAUGCCAAGGCCAAGCGCCUGACUGUCCAAGUGUAGAAAAAGAAAAACCUUCAUGCUGGACUAUUUUAAAAAUAGUUAAGCUCUUUGAUUAAAUGGCUAAACAGCCCUUGAAUCAAGUGUUCUCUUCUGUAGCAGAUGAAUUUGUGUAAUUGGCCUGAUUUCAACCUAGGUCCCCACGUAUCAGGAAUGUAAUCCUUGCUGAAUAGAUGAACAACUCCUUAAAUCUGUAACUAGGUGUCUUCUUGUCUUCUUUCAACAUAUAUUUAAUAAAUCAUUCUGUGUG